rnacentral:rRNA from 1 species
GACGAACGCUGGCGGCGUGCUUAACACAUGCAAGUCGAACGGAAAGGCCCUGCUUUUGUGGGGUGCUCGAGUGGCGAACGGGUGAGUAACACGUGAGUAACCUGCCCUUGACUUUGGGAUAACUUCAGGAAACUGGGCUAAUAACCGAUAGGAGCUUCUGCCGCCUGGUGGGGGGUGGGAAAUUUCGGCGGUUGGGGAUGGACUCGCGGCUUAUCAGCUUGUUGGUGGGGUAGUGGCUUACCAAGGCUUUGACGGGUAGCCGGCCUGAGAGGGUGACCGGCCACAUUGGGACUGAGAUACGGCCCAGACUCCUACGGGAGGCAGCAGUGGGGAAUAUUGCACAAUGGGCGGAAGCCUGAUGCAGCAACGCCGCGUGCGGGAUGACGGCCUUCGGGUUGUAAACCGCUUUCGCCUGUGACGAAGCGUGAGUGACGGUAAUGGGUAAAGAAGCACCGGCUAACUACGUG